GGUUAAGCGACUAAGCGUACACGGUGGAUGCCCUGGCAGUCAGAGGCGAUGAAGGACGUGCUAAUCUGCGAAAAGCGUCGGUAAGGUGAUAUGAACCGUUACAGCCGGCGAUGUCCGAAUGGGGAAACCCAGUGUGAUUCGUCACACUAUCGUUAACUGAAUACAUAGGUUAACGAGGCGAACCGGGGGAACUGAAACAUCUAAGUACCCCGAGGAAAAGAAAUCAACCGAGAUUCCCCCAGUAGCGGCGAGCGAACGGGGAGCAGCCCAGAGUCUGAAUCAGCUUGUGUGUUAGUGGAACGGUCUGGAAAGUCCGACGGUACAGGGUGAUAGUCCCGUACACCAAAAUGCACAGGCUGUGAACUCGAAGAGUAGGGCGGGACACGUGGUAUCCUGUCUGAAUAUGGGGGACCAUCCUCCAAGGCUAAAUACUCCUGACUGACCGAUAGUGAACCAGUACCGUGAGGGAAAGGCGAAAAGAACCCCGGCGAGGGGAGUGAAAAAGAACCUGAAACCGUGUACGUACAAGCAGUGGGAGCACCUUCGGGUGUGACUGCGUACCUUUGUAUAAUGGGUCAGCGACUUAUAUUCUGUAGCAAGGUUAACCGUAUAGGGGAGCCGCAGGGAAACCGAGUCUUAACUGGGCGUUAAGUUGCAGGGUAUAGACCCGAAACCCGGUGAUCUAGCCAUGGGCAGGUUGAAGGUUGGGUAACACUAACUGGAGGACCGAACCGACUAAUGUUGAAAAAUUAGCGGAUGACUUGUGGCUGGGGUGAAAGGCCAAUCAAACCGGGAGAUAGCUGGUUCUCCCCGAAAGCUAUUUAGGUAGCGCCUCGUGAAUUCAUCUUCGGGGUAGAGCACUGUUUCGGCUAGGGGUCAUCCCGACUUACCAACCCGAUGCAAACUACGAAUACCGAAGAAUGUUAUCACGGGAGACACACGGCGGGUGCUAACGUCCGUCGUGAAGAGGGAAACAACCCAGACCGCCAGCUAAGGUCCCAAAGUCAUGGUUAAGUGGGAAACGAUGUGGGAAGGCACAGACAGACAGCCGGGAUGUUGGCUUAGAAGCAGCCAUCAUUUAAAGAAAGCGUAAUAGCUCACUGGUCGAGUCGGCCUGCGCGGAAGAUGUAACGGGGCUAAACCAUGCACCGAAGCUGCGGCAGCGACACUAUGUGUUGUUGGGUAGGGGAGCGUUCUGUAAGCCUGCGAAGGUGACCUGUGAGGGUUGCUGGAGGUAUCAGAAGUGCGAAUGCUGACAUAAGUAACGAUAAAGCGGGUGAAAAGCCCGCUCGCCGGAAGACCAAGGGUUCCUGUCCAACGUUAAUCGGGGCAGGGUGAGUCGACCCCUAAGGCGAGGCCGAAAGGCGUAGUCGAUGGGAAACAGGUUAAUAUUCCUGUACUUGGUGUUACUGCGAAGGGGGACGGAGAAGGCUAUGUUAGCCGGGCGACGGUUGUCCCGGUUUAAGCAUGUAGGCUGGUUAUCCAGCAAAUCCGGAUAAUCAAGGCUGAGGUGUGAUGACGAGGCACUACGGUGCUGAAGUAACAAAUGCCCUGCUUCCAGGAAAAGCCUCUAAGCAUCAGGUAACAUUAAAUCGUACCCCAAACCGACACAGGUGGUCAGGUAGAGAAUACCAAGGCGCUUGAGAGAACUCGGGUGAAGGAACUAGGCAAAAUGGUGCCGUAACUUCGGGAGAAGGCACGCUGGUGUGUAGGUGAAGUCCCUGCGGAUGGAGCUGAGACCAGUCGAAGAUACCAGCUGGCUGCAACUGUUUAUUAAAAACACAGCACUGUGCAAACACGAAAGUGGACGUAUACGGUGUGACGCCUGCCCGGUGCCGGAAGGUUAAUUGAUGGGGUUAUCCGUAAGGAGAAGCUCUUGAUCGAAGCCCCGGUAAACGGCGGCCGUAACUAUAACGGUCCUAAGGUAGCGAAAUUCCUUGUCGGGUAAGUUCCGACCUGCACGAAUGGCGUAAUGAUGGCCGGGCUGUCUCCACCCGAGACUCAGUGAAAUUGAACUCGCUGUGAAGAUGCAGUGUACCCGCGGCAAGACGGAAAGACCCCGUGAACCUUUACUAUAGCUUGACACUGAACAUUGAGCCUUGAUGUGUAGGAUAGGUGGGAGGCUUUGAAGCGUGGACGCCAGUCUGCGUGGAGCCGACCUUGAAAUACCACCCUUUAAUGUUUGAUGUUCUAACGUUGGCCCCUUACCGGGGUUGCGGACAGUGUCUGGUGGGUAGUUUGACUGGGGCGGUCUCCUCCCAAAGCGUAACGGAGGAGCACGAAGGUUAGCUAAUCUGGUCGGACAUCAGGAGGUUAGUGCAAUGGCAUAAGCUAGCUUGACUGCGAGCGUGACGGCGCGAGCAGGUGCGAAAGCAGGUCAUAGUGAUCCGGUGGUUCUGAAUGGAAGGGCCAUCGCUCAACGGAUAAAAGGUACUCCGGGGAUAACAGGCUGAUACCGCCCAAGAGUUCAUAUCGACGGCGGUGUUUGGCACCUCGAUGUCGGCUCAUCACAUCCUGGGGCUGAAGUAGGUCCCAAGGGUAUGGCUGUUCGCCAUUUAAAGUGGUACGCGAGCUGGGUUUAGAACGUCGUGAGACAGUUCGGUCCCUAUCUGCCGUGGGCGCUGGAGAAUUGAGGGGGCUGCUCCUAGUACGAGAGGACCGGAGUGGACGCAUCACUGGUGUUCGGGUUGUCAUGCCAAUGGCACUGCCCGGUAGCUAAAUGCGGAAGAGAUAAGUGCUGAAAGCAUCUAAGCACGAAACUUGCCCCGAGAUGAGUUCUCCCUGAGACUUUAAGUCUCCUGAAGGAACGUUGAAGACGACGACGUUGAUAGGCCGGGUGUGUAAGCGCAGCGAUGCGUUGAGCUAACCGGUACUAAUGAACCGUGAGGCUUAACCUU
rnacentral:rRNA from 1 species